rnacentral:rRNA from 1 species
UUCUUCGGAAUUAGAGACCGGCGCACGGGUGCGUAACGCGUAUGCAAUCUACCUUUCACAGAGGGAUAGCCCAGAGAAAUUUGGAUUAAUACCUCAUAGUAUAUAUGAAUGGCAUCAUUUAUAUAUUAAAGUCACAACGGUGAAAGAUGAGCAUGCGUCCCAUUAGCUAGUUGGUAAGGUAACGGCUUACCAAGGCAACGAUGGGUAGGGGUCCUGAGAGGGAGAUCCCCCACACUGGUACUGAGACACGGACCAGACUCCUACGGGAGGCAGCAGUGAGGAAUAUUGGACAAUGGGCGCAAGCCUGAUCCAGCCAUGCCGCGUGCAGGAUGACGGUCCUAUGGAUUGUAAACUGCUUUUAUACGAGAAGAAACCCUCCGACGUGUCGGAGCUUGACGGUAUCGUAAGAAUAAGGAUCGGCUAACUCCGUGCCAGCAGCCGCGGUAAUACGGAGGAUCCAAGCGUUAUCCGGAAUCAUUGGGUUUAAAGGGUCCGUAGGCGGUCAGGUAAGUCAGUGGUGAAAGCCCAUCGCUCAACGGUGGAACGGCCAUUGAUACUGUCUGACUUGAAUUAUUAGGAAGUAACUAGAAUAUGUAGUGUAGCGGUGAAAUGCUUAGAGAUUACAUGGAAUACCAAUUGCGAAGGCAGGUUACUACUAAUGGAUUGACGCUGAUGGACG